rnacentral:rRNA from 1 species
CAGCCGCCACGGUAAUACGAAGGGGGCUAGCGUUGUUCGGAAUUACUGGGCGUAAAGGGCGCAUAGGCGGCGACGAUAGUCAGAAGUGAAAGCCCCGGGCUCAACCUGGGAAUUGCUUUUGAUACUGUGUUGCUUGAGUUCGGGAGAGGUGAGUGGAAUUCCCAGUGUAGAGGUGAAAUUCGUAGAUAUUGGGAAGAACACCGGUGGCGAAGGCGGCUCACUGGACCGACACCGACGCUGAGGCGCGAAAGCGUGGGGAGCAAACAGGAUUAGAUACCCCUGUAGUCCCUGUCUCUUAUAC